GACGAACGCUGGCGGCGUGCUUAGCACAUGCAAGUCGAGCGGUAAGGCCCUUUCGGGGGUACACGAGCGGCGAACGGGUGAGUAACACGUGGGUGACCUGCCCUCAGCUCUGGGAUAAGCCUGGGAAACUGGGUCUAAUACUGGAUAUGACUCCACGGUGCAUGUCGUGGGGUGAAAGCCUUGUGCGGCUGAGGAUGGGCCCGCGGCCUAUCAGCUUGUUGGUGGGGUGAUGGCCUACCAAGGCGACGACGGGUAGCCGGCCUGAGAGGGCGACCGGCCACACUGGGACUGAGACACGGCCCAGACUCCUACGGGAGGCAGCAGUGGGGAAUCUUGCGCAAUGGGCGGAAGCCUGAUCCAGCAAUGCCGCGUGUGUGAAGAAGGCC
rnacentral:rRNA from 1 species